UAAUGAUCAAAAUCAGACCUCAAGUGAUUUUGUGCAAUGGGCCUGGGACUUGUAUACCACUAUGUGCCAUUGCUUUUGUUUUCAAGUGGCCACAGCUGAAGAGCAAAUACCCUCGAGCUAAUUAUGUUGGUCGUCUCAUGUAACACGACUCUUGUUCUUGCUCCUUUUAGGUCGAACCAGAGUAAGCAAGUAUAUAUAGAUUAUAGGGUUAGUUUGCCAUUCUUUAAAUAUGUGCAUGAGUUGCAAUGAAACAUAUGGCAAGAGCUAAUAUUUCAUUCCAUUUUGAUAGUAGAUGAAGCAAUCUAAUAGAUUUUUUUCAUCCAAAGGCUAAGAA